rnacentral:rRNA from 1 species
UACGAAGGGAGCUAGCGUUGUUCGGAAUCACUGGGCGUAAAGCGCACGUAGGCGGAUGUGUCAGUCAGGGGUGAAAUCCCGGAGCUCAACUUCGGAACUGCCUUUGAUACAGCACGUCUUGAGUCCGAUAGAGGUGGGUGGAAUUCCUAGUGUAGAGGUGAAAUUCGUAGAUAUUAGGAAGAACACCGGGUGGCGAAAGGCGGCCCACUGGGCAUCGGUG